GGUUAUGUUAUCACACAGACAACAAUAGUCAAAAAAUAUCACUUUCAAAACACUUUCACGUAUCACUUAAACAAAUAAUCACAAAAAUAGUUAAAUUUAGUAGUGUUCAAGGGUUUCGUCAUAAUAUCCGCAAUGUUCUCUUCACUUUGUACAUAGUUCACAGUUAUAAGUUUCUUGUUUACAAUGUCCUUCACAAAAUUAUAUUUAAUGUCAAUAUGCUUGCUUCUCUUUGUAUUUUCACUAUUGUUCAUCAUUUUAAUUGCACUUUGAUUGUCCACAAAGAUUUCUACACUGUUUAUAUUUUUAAAUUCACUAGCCAAUCCUUUUACAAAUAACACUUCACUAACACACAUUGCAGCUGAAAUAUACUCUGCUUCUGCAGAUGAUAGUGAAACAGUUGGCUGCUUCUUCGAUGCCCAUGAAAUCAGGUUGUUGUUAUGGUAAACUACCAUUCCACUUGUACUCUUUCUGUCAGAUUGGUCACCUCCCCAAUCGGCGUCUGAAUAACCUGUUAUGCUGUUGCUUUCUGACUUCGUAUAGGUACUGAAAAAUUGGUCUCCAUUGGUGUUUUCUUCGGUUUGCUGUCUUCCAUUCGAAAUUUUUGUAAUAUCUUGUUAAUAAAUUCUUUUUGUGAAAU